rnacentral:rRNA from 1 species
UACAGGGUGAAAUUACUAUUUUUUUAAGUUAUUUUAUUUUAUAAUUUAAGUAAAUUUAUUUUUAUUUGUUUUUGUAUUUAUUAGAUUAAAUAAUUUUAGUAAUAGUUAAUUAGUACGGUGGCGGAACUUUUUAUUUUAAUGUAUUGUUUAAAAAGUAUAAUUGUUUUUUUGUACCUUUUGUAUCAGGGUUUAUUUAAAUUUGAUUAUUUAUUUAUAUUGUUCUCGAAUUCAAUAGAGCUAAGAUUUUAUGAAAUUUAUUGUUGCAAAACUAUUUUAAAUAUAAUUUUAGUUGUGAUACGUUAAUCGUUAUUGAAUAUAUCUAGUUUUUCAAGAUUUAUAUUUAAUUUAUAAAUUUAAUUUUCAUUAUUUUUUUUUAGAAAUUUAUUGAACUUAAAUUUAGAGAAUCUCGGGGAUAAGCUUGGGAUUUUGUAUUAUAAAUUGGCAAUAUUUAUUAUUAUAAUUAGUAGGAUUAGAAAUUUUUAUCUUUUUAUAAAGUGUUAUAAUUAAUUUUUGUUUUAAUAAAAUUUGUUUUUUUUUUAAUUUUUUUAUUGAAAUAUUUUAUUAAAUUAUUAAUAUUAGAAAUAAUGAUAAAAUUAGUAUUAUUUUUUGUUUAUAUAAAAGAUUUAUUUAGAUGGAAUUAAGGAAUUCGGCAAUAAUUACACUCGCCUGUUUAUCAAAAACAUGUCUUUUUGAUUAUAAUAUAAAGUCUAACCUGCCCACUGAUUUUAUUGAAGGGCCGCAGUAUCUUGACUGUGCAAAGGUAGCAUAAUCAUUUGCCUUUUAAUUAGAGGCUGGAAUGAAUGGUUGAACGAAGUGUAAGCUGUCUCAUUUUUAUAAUUUAAGAAUUUAGCUUUUUAGUUAAAAGGCUAAAAUGUUGUUAGAGGACGAGAAGACCCUAUAGAACUUUAUAAUUUGUUUAUUAAAAAAUUAUAGUUUAAUAUUUUUUUUUAUUAAUUUGAUUAUUUUGUUGGGGUGACAGGAAGAUAUAUAAAACUCUUUUGAUUAGUGAGACACAAAUUAGUGAUUUUUUGAUCCAUUAUUAUUGAUUAUUAGAAUAAGUUACCUUAGGGAUAACAGCGUAAUUUUAUUGGAGAGUUCAUAUUGAUAAUAAAGUUUGCGACCUCGAUGUUGAAUUAAAGAAAUUUUUGAGUGCAGAAGCUUGAAGAAAUAGGUCUGUUCGACCUUUAAAUCUUUACAUGAUUUGAGUUCAGACCGGCGUGAGCCAGGUCGGUUUCUAUCCUUAAUAAGUUGUUAUAAUUUAGUACGAAAGGACCAGUUAUGAGAAAAAUUUUUUUAAUUUAUUGAAUAAAAUU